rnacentral:lncRNA from 1 species
AUGUCAGUAAUCAGCGGCAAAGGAUGUGUGCAAAGCUUGUUAUGUGUUAUAGCUCCCAGAGGAGCCGACGGCAUCAGCCUGCAAGGACAGCUCUUCACCGACAGAGUCAAGCCAAGGGGGAAUUCUUUGGUAUUACACCACUCAGAACGUUGUCCUUUUACUGCGGUGCAUGAGGACCAGUGGGCACUUAGUGCUGUUUCCAGCAAGCAAUCUGCCUCUUUCCAUUCUCUGCAACCUCUCUGCACCGCCCACAUCAGUGGGGUCAUAUGAAUGGAAGUGUCUCUUCUCAGCCAUCUGGUGAUUCAUUCUUCCCUACCCCCUGCCUGGAGCUGUGAGAGCUGCUCACACGCUGCCAAGUCAGCUGAAGAGGGCUGCUGCCGCCUGGGGCCUGCCAGACAACGGGCAUUCUCAGAGGCCUUCUCCAUUCCCUCAGAACAUGUGCAAUGGCUCGGUUGAAAUAAAAAAAAAAAAUCCCACAAGACAAACACACAAAUCAGUUUGUUAAUUAAUAUGUAAACUGGUGUGUAUGUGUCAUAGAUCCAGACAAAAUGAUGGGAGCACGUGAAGAAUGCAUGCUUAGUUAUUUUUUAUGUUAAAAUAUAUCUUUUAAAAUGUACUGCAUGAGGUUUGCAUUGGUUUUUCAGGGAAGUCAUAAUGAAUUACCACAAAAGGGGCUGCUUAAAACAAUAGGAGUUAAUUCUCUUAUCGUUCUGGAGGUUACAAGUAUGAAAUCUAGGGGUGAGCAGAGUUGGUACCUUCUGGAGGCUCUGAGGGGGAAUUUGUGCCAUGCUUCUCUCUUAGCUUUUGGUGGUUGCCAGCAAUCCUUGAUGCUUCUUCUUCUUCUUUUUUUUUUUUUUUAAGAUUUUAUUUAUUUAUUCGAGAGAGAGAGAGAGAGAGAGAGAGAGGCGGAGACACAGGAGGAGGGAGAAGCAGGCUCCAUGCAGGGAGCCCGACGUGGGACUCGACCCCGGGGUCUCCAGGAUCGCGCCCCAGACCAAAGGCAGGCGCUAAACCACUGAGCCACCCAGGGAUCCCUCCUUGAUGCUUCUUGAAGCAUCUCUCCAACCUGUGCCUUGGUUGACACAUAGUGCUCCCCUCUCUGCGUCUCCGUUUCUUUGUCUGACUUUCUCUUUCCUAAAGACAGUAGUCAUUGGACUAGAGCCCACCCUAAUCCAGGAUAACCUCAUCUUAACUUGAUUACAUCUGUAAACAAAGACCCUAUUUCCAAAUAAGGCCAGAUUCAUAAAUAAUGAGGGUUAGGGCUUGAACAUAUCUUUUGAUAGACACAAUUCAACUCAUAACAAGAGUUAGAGACAGUGCAGUUAAAAGAAAAAAAAAGAUAGCCUUUUAAAAAUAGAGCUAUUGGGGUGCCUAGGUAGCUUAGUGAUUGAGCGUCUGCCUUUGGCUCAGGGCUUGAUUCUGGGGUCCUGGGAUUGAGUCCCACAUCAGGCUCCUUGCAGGGAGCCUGCUUCUCCCUCUGUUUAUGUCUCUGCCUCUCUCUCUGUGUCUCUCACGAAUAAAUAAAUCUUUAAAAAAAUAAAAAUAAUAAAAAGAGAGAGCUAUUAUAAUUGGGUAAAUGGAGCUGGAGCAAUUGGAUAUCCAUAUGUGAAAAAAAAAAAAAGAGCCUCAAUUCAAACCUGCUAAUCUACAAAGAUAAACUCAAAACGGAUCAUAGGCAUUAAAACCUAAAACCAUAAAACUCCAAAAUAAAACAUGAAAAUCUUUGUGACCUUGGCUAAGCAAAGAUUUCUUAGAGAUGACACCUAAGGACAAUCUAUAAGAAAAUAAAUCGAUGAAUUGGGUUUUAUUAAAAUCAAAAACUCCUGCCCUUCAAAAGACAUUGUUAAGAGAAUUAAAAGACCAGCCAGACUGGGAGAAAAUCUUUGCAAAGCAUGUACCCGAUAAAGGAUGUCUAUCUAGAAAAUAUAAGGAAAUCUCAAAACUCAACAACGAUGAAACAACUCAAUCAAAAAUGAGCAAAUACAUCUGGAUACUAAAGAGGAUAUAUGGAUAGCAAACAGGGCAUAAAAGAUGUUCAACAUUCUGAGUCACUGGAGUAUCAGAAACUAGAAGCAUGUGGGAUACUGUAAUAAUCCUGCUGUACUGACUAAAAUGAUGAAGACUGACUAUGCCAAGCGGUGGCGAGCAUGGGGAGGAAAUGGAACUCACACACUGCUCAUGGGAACGUAAAAUGGUAAAAAAACUUUGGAGAACAGUUUGGCAGUUAAACAUCGCAAAAUGUAUACCCACUCUAUGAUUCUAGCCAUUCCAUUUCUAUGUUUUUAUCUACGAGAAGAAAAUAUAUACGUCUGUACAAAGACUUAUAUGCAUAUAUUCAUAGCAGCUUAACUUGUAAUGACCAAAUCUGCAGACUAUCUAAAUGUCCAUCAAUCAACAUGUGAAUUGCUAUGGAUUGAACUGCAUAUCCCCCAAAUUUAUAUGCUGAAAGCCCUAAUGCGUAAUGUGACUAUAUUCGGAGUAAAGAGAUAAUUAAGGUUAAAGGAGGUCAUAAGGGUAGGGUGCUAAUCUGAUAGAAUUAGUGUCUAGGAGAAGAGACCCCAGAGAGCUCACUUUCUUCCCUCCAUGUGAGGGCACAGUGAGAAAACAGCCAUUGGCAAACCAGGAGGAGGGUCCUCAUCAGAACCUAGCCACGCUGGCACCCUGAUUUUGUACUUCCAGCUUCCAGAACUGUGAACAAAUUAAUUUCUGUUGUUUAAGCCUCCCAGUUUAUGGUAUUUUGUUAUAGCAGCCUGAGCAGACUGAUGGAUUAUGAAUGGAUGAACAGGUUGUGGUAUAUCUAUAGAGACUGCUGCUCAGCAACAAAAAGCAAUGGACUACCGAUACACACAGUGAUGUGAAUGAAUCUUAAUGUAAUGCUGAGUGAAAGAAUCCAGAUCUCCCAGACACAAAAAAGUACACACUGUAGGGGCAUCUGGAUGGCUCAGUGGAUGAGCAUCUGUCUUCAGCUCAGGGCAUGAUUUUGGGGUCCUGGGAUCAAGUCCCAUAUUGGGCUCCCUGCAGGGAGCCUGCUUCUCUCUGUCUCUGCCUCUUUCUCUGUGUCUCUCAUGAAUAAAUAAAUUAACUCUUUAAAAAAAGUACACACUGAAUGAUUUCAUUUAUAUAAACUUCAGAAAAUGCAAACUAAUUCACAGAAGGCACAACAGUGGUUGAUUAGAGUUGGUGGGGGUUAGAGGCAGGUGUGGGAAGGAUGUAUUACAAAGGGAUGUGAGGAGGUGACAGAUAUACUCACUUUCUUGAUUGUGGUGAUGGCUUCAUGGGUAUACAUGUAUCUUAGCAGUUAUUAAAUUAUAUACCUUAAAUAUGUGUUUAUUGUAUGUUAUUAUACUUCAAUAAAAAUAUAUGCUUGUUAUAUGUUGGAUAUUUUGCUAGCUGUUUUCAUGGAAUAUUCACUUACUUCUGAGAGUAUUGUGUGGUAGGGAUACAAGUGAAUUUCAGAGAAGAAUAAUAUAUCCAUAGAACAAGAAUGUAGUCUAUAGAGAGGAGAAGAGAGAAAGGGAAUGGUGAACGGAACCAAAAAAGAUUCCUGGGAUGGGGAGAGGUGGCAGGCAGAAAAAGGAGAAAGACAACAUGGCUGUUCACAUUUUCCAACAGUGAGCACGUUAUUUCUUCUUGCAAUGUAGCUCUGACACUCUUUCUGUUGAGAGGUGGAGUUUUUGUUUCCUCAUUUUCAAUAUGGGGAGGCUUGUGGCUAUUGUGGAGGUUACGUUAUGUGACUUCUGGUGAUAAAAGAUGAUUCAGUUUCUGCUUUUUCUUGUGACAUUCACUCCUGGAGCUCAGCACCUGUGAUGUGGGGAAGCCCAAACAGCCAAGAGGAUGUCUUGUUGACAGCUGCCCCAGGUCUGG